rnacentral:rRNA from 1 species
GAUGAACGCUGGCGGCGUGCCUAAUACAUGCAAGUCGAGCGCACGGACGAGAAGCUUGCUUCUCUGUUGUUAACGGCUGACGGGUGAGUAACACGUGGGUAACCUAUCUAUAAGACUGGGAUAACUUCGGGAAACGGUAGCUAAUACCGGAUAAUAUCUUGAACCGCAUGGUUCAAAAGUGAUAGACGGUCUUGCUGUCACUUAUCGAUGGAUCCCCGCUGCAUUAGCUAGUUGGUAAGGUAACGGCUUACCAAGGCAACGAUGCAUAGCCGACCUGAGAGGGUGGUCGGCCACACUGGAACUGAGACACGGUCCAGACUCCUACGGGAGGCAGCAGUAGGGAAUCUUACGCAAUGGGCGAAAGCCUGACGGAGCAAAGCCGCGUGAGUGAUGAAGGUCUUCGGAUCGUAAAACUCUGUUAUUAGGGAAGAACAUAUGUGUAAGUAACUGUGCACAUCUUGACGGUACCUAAUCAGAAAGCCACGGCUAACUACGUG